UACGAAGGGUGCAAACGUUGCUCGGAAUCAUUGGGCGUAAAGAGCGUGUAGGCGGCCAGGUAGGUCGGUUGUGAAAACUGGAGGCUCAACCUUCAGAGGUCGACCGAAACCAUCUGGCUAGAGUCCGGGAGAGGAGAGUGGAAUUCCUGGUGUAGCGGUGAAAUGCGCAGAUAUCAGGAAGAACACCCGUGGCGAAAGCGGCUCUCUGGAACGGUACUGACGCUGAGACGCGAAAGCGUGGGGAGCGAACAGG
rnacentral:rRNA from 1 species